GCAUUGGUGCUUCAGUGGUAGAAUGCUCACUUUCCAUGCGGGAGACUGGGUUUGAUUCUUGGCCAGUGCA
rnacentral:tRNA from 1 species